rnacentral:rRNA from 1 species
GAUGAACGCUGACAGAAUGCUUAACACAUGCAAGUCAACUUGAACUUCGGUUUGGGUGCGGACGGGUGAGUAACGCGUAAAGAACUUGCCUCACAGAUAGGGACAACAUUUGGAAACGAAUGCUAAUACCUGAUAUUAUGAUUUUAGGGCAUCCUAGAAUUAUGAAAGCUAUAUGCACUGUGAGAGAGCUUUGCGUCCCAUUAGCUAGUUGGAGAGGUAACGGCUCACCAAGGCGAUGAUGGGUAGCCGGCCUGAGAGGGUGAUCGGCCACAAGGGGACUGAGACACGGCCCUUACUCCUACGGGAGGCAGCAGUGGGGAAUAUUGGACAAUGGACCAAGAGUCUGAUCCAGCAAUUCUGUGUGCACGAUGAAGUUUUUCGGAAUGUAAAGUGCUUUCAGUUGGGAAGAAAGAAAUGACGGUACCAACAGAAGAAG